rnacentral:rRNA from 1 species
CGCCAGACUCCUACGGGAGGCAGCAGUGGGGAAUAUUGCACAAUGGGGGGAACCCUGAUGCAGCGACGCCGCGUGGGUGAAGGAGCACCUCGGUGCGUAAAGCCCUAUCGGCAGGGAAGAAACAGACGGUACCUGACUAAGAAGCCCCGGCUAACUACGUGCCAGCAGCCGCGGUAAUACGUAGGGGGCAAGCGUUAUCCGGAUUCACUGGGUGUAAAGGGAGCGCAGGCGGCACGGCAAGUCCGGUGUGAAAGCCCGGGGCCCAACCCCGGGACUGCACUGGAAACUGCCGGGCUGGAGUGUCGGAGGGGCAGGCGGAAUUCCUAGUGUAGCGGUGAAAUGCGUAGAUAUUAGGAGGAACACCGGUGGCGAAGGCGGCCUGCUGGACGACGACUGACGCUGAGGCUCGAAAGCGUGGGGAGCAAACAGGAUUAGAUACCCGAGUA